UCGUAACAAGGUCUCCGUUGGUGAACCAGCGGAGGGAUCAUUAUCGAGUGUAAAAACUCCCAACCCUUUGUGAACCUUACCAAAGUUGCUUCGGCGGUGCCGCCCCGGGCGCUGACUCGCUCAGUGCCCCGGAACCAGGCGCCCGCCGGGGGACCGAAACUCUUGUAUUACCUAUGGUAUUCUCUGAGUGGAUUUAAACAAAUCAAAUUAAAACUUUCAACAACGGAUCUCUUGGCUCUGGCAUCGAUGAAGAACGCAGCGAAAUGCGAUAAGUAAUGCGAAUUGCAGAAUUCAGUGAAUCAUCGAAUCUUUGAACGCACAUUGCGCCCGCUAGUAUUCUGGCGGGCAUGCCUGUCUGAGCGUCAUUUCAACCCUCGUCCCCCCGGCACUUGCGGCCGGCGGGGGCGGUGUUGGGGAUCGGCACCCUUCUGUGUGCCGGCCCCGAAAUACAGUGGCGACCACGCCGUAGCCUCCUCUGCGUAGUAGUAAAAAACUCGCGGGCGGAGAGCGGUGCGGUCCGCCGUGAAACACCCAACUUUACAAGGUUGACCUCAGAUCAGGUAGGAAUACCCGCUGAACCUAAGCAUAUCAAU
rnacentral:misc_RNA from 1 species